rnacentral:rRNA from 1 species
CAGCAGCCGCGGUAAUACGUAGGGUGCAAGCGUUAUCCGGAAUUAUUGGGCGUAAAGGGCUCGUAGGCGGUUCGUCGCGUCCGGUGUGAAAGUCCAUCGCUUAACGGUGGAUCCGCGCCGGGUACGGGCGGGCUUGAGUGCGGUAGGGGAGACUGGAAUUCCCGGUGUAACGGUGGAAUGUGUAGAUAUCGGGAAGAACACCAAUGGCGAAGGCAGGUCUCUGGGCCGUCACUGACGCUGAGGAGCGAAAGCGUGGGGAGCGAACAGGAUUAGAUACCCUGGUAGUCCACGCCGUAAACGGUGGAUGCUGGAUGUGGGGACCAUUCCACGGUCUCCGUGUCGGAGCCAACGCGUUAAGCAUCCCGCCUGGGGAGUACGGCCGCAAGGCUAAAACUCAAAGAAAUUGACGGGGGCCCGCACAAGCGGCGGAGCAUGCGGAUUAAUUCGAUGCAACGCGAAGAACCUUACCUGGGCUUGACAUGUUCCCGACGGUCGUAGAGAUACGGCUUCCCUUCGGGGCGGGUUCACAGGUGGUGCAUGGUCGUCGUCAGCUCGUGUCGUGAGAUGUUGGGUUAAGUCCCGCAACGAGCGCAACCCUCGCCCUGUGUUGCCAGCACGUCGUGGUGGGAACUCACGGGGGACCGCCGGGGUCAACUCGGAGGAAGGUGGGGAUGACGUCA